rnacentral:rRNA from 1 species
AUUAAACGCUGGCGGCAUGCCUUACACAUGCAAGUCGAACGGCAGCACGGGGGCAACCCUGGUGGCGAGUGGCGGACGGGUGAGUAAAGCAUCGGAACGUAUCCUGGAGUGGGGGGAUAACGUAGCGAAAGUUACGCUAAUACCGCAUAUUCUGUGAGCAGGAAAGCAGGGGAUCGCAAGACCUUGCGCUCUGGGAGCGGCCGAUGUCGGAUUAGCUAGUUGGUGGGGUAAAGGCCUACCAAGGCGACGAUCCGUAGCGGGUCUGAGAGGAUGAUCCGCCACACUGGGACUGAGACACGGCCCAGACUCCUACGGGAGGCAGCAGUGGGGAAUUUUGGACAAUGGCGCAAGCCUGAUCCAGCCAUGCCGCGUGAGUGAAGAAGGCCU